AAUCUGCAGUCUUGGCCCUGCGCUGGGUUGGCGGUACCCUAGAGCACACCAGACUUGGCAGAGAAAGCAGACUCCAGAGGAAGCUGAGGCAUGCCUGCUCGAGAGGCAGCGGGCCCAUGUGCAAUUUUCCUCUGAUAGGGCCUGGGUACUGUUGCCACGGUGAUAAUGGCUGUGCCGUGUCAUUGUCGAUCCACCAACAGUCAGAGAAGCUUGGCAGUCAAGAUAUUGUUUAGCAGACGGAGCGGUUUCUGUUGGACACUAAGUACUGCUACAAAA
rnacentral:snoRNA from 1 species